CUACGUGCCAGCAGCCGCGGUAAUACGGAAGGUCCAGGCGUUAUCCGGAUUUAUUGGGUUUAAAGGGAGCGUAGGCCGGAGAUUAAGUGUGUUGUGAAAUGUAGACGCUCAACGUCUGACUUGCAGCGCAUACUGGUUUCCUUGAGUACGCACAACGUUGGCGGAAUUCGUCGUGUAGCGGUGAAAUGCUUAGAUAUGACGAAGAACUCCGAUUGCGAAGGCAGCUGACGGGAGCGCAACUGACGCUUAAGCUCGAAGGUGCGGGUAUCAAACAGGAUUAGAUACCCUGGUAGUCCGCACAGUAAACGAUGGAUGCCCGCUGUUGGUACCUGGUAUCAGCGGCUAAGCGAAAGCAUUAAGCAUCCCACCUGGGGAGUACGCCGGCAACGGUGAAACUCAAAGGAAUUGACGGGGGCCCGCACAAGCGGAGGAACAUGUGGUUUAAUUCGAUGAUACGCGAGGAACCUUACCCGGGCUUGAAUUGCAGAGGAAGGAUUUAGAGAUA
rnacentral:rRNA from 1 species